rnacentral:rRNA from 1 species
GCUAAGCCCUGAACAUUGAUAGUUAUUUAUACAAUACUUUCCGCCAGAGAACUACAAGUGAAAAACUUGAAACUCAAAGGACUUGACGGUGUCCCACAUCGGCCUAGAGGAGCCUGUCCUAUAAUCGAUACCCCCCGUUCCACCCAACCUCAACUAGCAAAAUAUCAGCCUAUAUACCGCCGUCGACAGUUUACCCUAUGAAGGUCUAAUAGUAGACACAACAGCCAUAACGCUAAUACGUCAGGUCAAGGUGUAGCAGAUGUUGAGGCAGAGAUUGGCUACAUUUUUUAAUAUAAAAAAUACGAAUUGCACUAUGAAAUAUUGCAUGAAGGUGAAUUUAGUAGUAAAACAGAUAAGAGUGUCUGUUUUAACAACGCUCUGGGACGCGU